rnacentral:rRNA from 1 species
AGUGAACGCUGGCGGUAGGCCUAACACAUGCAAGUCGAACGGCAGCACAGUAAGAGCUUGCUCUUACGGGUGGCGAGUGGCGGACGGGUGAGGAAUACAUCGGAAUCUACUUUUUCGUGGGGGAUAACGUAGGGAAACUUACGCUAAUACCGCAUACGACCUACGGGUGAAAGCAGGGGAUCUUCGGACCUUGCGCGAUUGAAUGAGCCGAUGUCGGAUUAGCUAGUUGGCGGGGUAAAGGCCCACCAAGGCGACGAUCCGUAGCUGGUCUGAGAGGAUGAUAAGCCACACUGGAACUGAGACACGGUCCAGACUCCUAAGGGAGGCAGCAGUGGGGAAUAUUGGACAAAGGGCGCAAGCCUGAUCCAGCCAUACCGCGUGGGUGAAGAAGGCCUUCGGGUUGUAAAGCCCUUUUGUUGGGAAAGAAAAGCAGCAGGUUAAUACCCCGCUGUUCUGACGGUACCCAAAGAAUAAGCACCGGCUAACUUCGUG